ACUCAGAGAGCCCUCUACAGGGAUGUCAUGCAGGAGAACUAUGAGACGGUGACCUCACUGGUAGGGUUUCCAGUUUCCAAACCUGAUGUGAUCUCCCAGCUGGAACGAGGGGAAGAACCGUGGGUCCCAGACAUCCGGGGCUCUGAGAAAGAAGUGCUCCCGAGAGCUGCCUUCGCAGGCACAGGGAGUGACCUAUGUCUGGAUUCUCUCUGUCUCCCAUCCGGCGAUGGGCUGGUGAG